ACCGGUGUGGCGAUCGAGGCGGUCGGCCCGGCCUUGUUCGCCGGCUGGGCAGGCGAGGGCGACGGGUGGGCGUGUUCGGAUCACGGGUGCGGGUGC
rnacentral:tRNA from 1 species